rnacentral:rRNA from 1 species
GACGAACGCUGGCGGCGUGCUUAACACAUGCAAGUCGAACGGAAAGGCCCUGCUUUUGUGGGGUGCUCGAGUGGCGAACGGGUGAGUAACCCGUGAGUAACCUGCCCUUGACUUUGGGAUAACUUCAGGAAACUGGGGCUAAUACCGGCUAGGAGCUCCUGCUGCAUGGUGGGGGUUGGAAAGUUUCGGCGGUUGGGGAUGGACUCGCGGCGUAUCAGCUUGUUGGUGGGGUAGUGGCUUACCAAGGCUUUGACGGGUAGCAGGCCUGAGAGGGUGACCGGCCACGUUGGGACUGGAAUACGGCCCAGACUCCUACGGGAGGCAGCGGUGGGGAAUAUUGCACAAUGGGCGGAAGCAUGAUGCAGCAACGCCGCGUGCGGGAUGACGGCCUUCGGGUUGUAAACCGCUUUCGCCUGUGACGAAGCGUGAGUGACGGUAAUGGGUAAAGAAGCACCGGCUAACUACGUG